rfam:Schistosoma mansoni, Puerto Rico, WGS project CABG01000000 data, contig: 0010
AUCCAGCUGACGAGUCCCAAAUAAGACGAAAUGCGCUUUCUGGAU